UUACAAUGAAGAGUUUGAUCCUGGCUCAGGAUGAACGCUAGCUACAGGCUUAACACAUGCAAGUCGAGGGGCAGCAUUAUCGAAGCUUGCUUUGAUAGAUGGCGACCGGCGCACGGGUGAGUAACGCGUAUCCAACCUUCCCCUUAGUAGGGCAUAGCCCG
rnacentral:rRNA from 1 species